rnacentral:lncRNA from 1 species
GUAUGGGGUUAGCUUAGAAAAAGUGAAUAAUAAGGCAAAUAGUUAAAGAUUCGGAUUGUUGUGUGAUUUGUUUAUAGAAAACAAAACUAAACCAAGUCUCUCUCAAGAUCGUUAGGCCUAUUUGUGGAGGUUCUUUUGAUUGUUGGGUUUCACUAGAUGCUCUUGGCUCAGUAGGAUGAUUAUUAACAGCCUAGGAUCAAAAUAUUGUGGAAGAAAAUUUAGUCCACAA